rnacentral:rRNA from 1 species
GUUGAUAGGUCGGGUGUGUAAGCGCUGCGAGGCGUUGAGCUAACCGAUACUAAUUGCUCGUGAGGCUUGACUAUAUAACACCCAAG